GUGCUUAACACAUGCAAGUCGAGCGGUAAGGCCCUUCGGGGUACACGAGCGGCGAACGGGUGAGUAACACGUGGGUGAUCUGCCUCGUACUUCGGGAUAAGCCUGGGAAACUGGGUCUAAUACCGGAUAUGACCUUCGGAUGCAUGUCUGAGGGUGGAAAGAUUUAUCGGUACGAGAUGGGCCCGCGGCCUAUCAGCUUGUUGGUGGGGUAAUGGCCUACCAAGGCGACGACGGGUAGCCGGCCUGAGAGGGCGACCGGCCACACUGGGACUGAGACACGGCCCAGACUCCUACGGGAGGCAGCAGUGGGGAAUAUUGCACAAUGGGCGAAAGCCUGAUGCAGCGACGCCGCGUGAGGGAUGACGGCCUUCGGGUUGUAAACCUCUUUGGACAGGGACGAAGCGCAAGUGACGGUACCUGUAGAAGAAGCACCGGCCAACUACGUGCCAGCAGCCGCGGUAAUACGUAGGGUGCGAGCGUUGUCCGGAAUUACUGGGCGUAAAGAGCUUGUAGGCGGUUCGUCGCGUCGUUCGUGAAAACUUGGGGCUCAACCCCAAGCUUGCGGGCGAUACGGGCGGACUAGAGUACUUCAGGGGAGACUGGAAUUCCUGGUGUAGCGGUGAAAUGCGCAGAUAUCAGGAGGAACACCGGUGGCGAAGGCGGGUCUCUGGGAAGUAACUGACGCUGAGAAGCGAAAGCGUGGGUAGCGAACAGGAUUAGAUACCCUGGUAGUCCACGCCGUAAACGGUGGGUACUAGGUGUGGGUUUCCUUCCACGGGAUCCGUGCCGUAGCUAACGCAUUAAGUACCCCGCCUGGGGAGUACGGCCGCAAGGCUAAAACUCAAAGGAAUUGACGCGGGCGCGCACAAGCGGCGGAGCAUGUGGAUUAAUUCGAUGCAACGCGAAGAACCUUACCUGGGUAUGACAUACACCGGAAACCUGCAGAGAUGUAGGCCCCCUUGUGGUCGGUGUACAGGUGGUGCAU
rnacentral:rRNA from 1 species